CACCCGCCAGCCACUCAUCCAUUCAGG
rnacentral:sRNA from 1 species